GAUGAACGCUGGCGGCGUGCCUAAUACAUGCAAGUCGAGCGAACAGACGAGGAGCUUGCUCCUCUGACGUUAGCGGCGGACGGGUGAGUAACACGUGGAUAACCUACCUAUAAGACUGGGAUAACUUCGGGAAACCGGAGCUAAUACCGGAUAAUAUAUUGAACCGCAUGGUUCAAUAGUGAAAGACGGUUUUGCUGUCACUUAUAGAUGGAUCCGCGCCGCAUUAGCUAGUUGGUAAGGUAACGGCUUACCAAGGCAACGAUGCGUAGCCGACCUGAGAGGGUGAUCGGCCACACUGGAACUGAGACACGGUCCAGACUCCUGCGGGAGGCAGCAGUAGGGAAUCUUCCGCAAUGGGCGAAAGCCUGACGGAGCAACGCCGCGUGAAUGAUGAAGGUCUUCGGAUCGUAAAACUCUGUUAUUAGGGAAGAACAAAUGUGUAAGUAACUAUGCACGUCUUGACGGUACCUAAUCAGAAAGCCACGGCUAACUACGUG
rnacentral:rRNA from 1 species